rnacentral:lncRNA from 1 species
AGACAUCAUUUCCUAACAUGCAUUCUAUGUAACACCAGUCCUGCAAGAUGCUUCUUGAGAAAAGGUUUCUUCAUCAAAAAGCCUGAGAAACUGCAUAUUCCGUCUACCAGAGACUCAAUCGACGAAGAUACUAGGUCCUACGGAUGGUGAAGCUAGAAGACAUGAAGCUGCUGCAAGAAGCAUGAACUUCUUUCCAUGACGGCAAGAGUUUUCAAAGGUGUGUGUGGGGGGGAGUGUUAAA